AAAACUAGCCAGUUCUUUGGGUAUGAAACCUAUUUGGGCGAGAGUAGUACUAGGAUGGAUGACCUCCUGGGAAGUCCUCGUGAAAGGGUUUC
rnacentral:rRNA from 1 species